UACGUAGGGGGCAAGCGUUGUCCGGAAUCAUUGGGCGUAAAGAGCGUGUAGGCGGUUCGGUAAGUCGGCUGUGAAAGUCCAGGGCUCAACCCUGGGAUGCCGGUCGAUACUGCCGGACUAGAGUUCGGAAGAGGCGAGUGGAAUUCCCGGUGUAGCGGUGAAAUGCGCAGAUAUCGGGAGGAACACCUAUGGCGAAGGCAGCUCGCUGGGACGUUACUGACGCUGAGACGCGAAAGCGUGGGA
rnacentral:rRNA from 1 species